AGAGUUUGAUCAUGGCUCAGGAUGAACGCUAGCGGCAGGCCUAAUACACGCAAGUCGAGCGGCAGCGCGGGAGCAAUCCUGGCGGCGAGCGGCGCACGGGUGCGGAACACGUAUGCAACCUACCCAUUGCAGGGGGAUAUCCUGGAGAAAUUCAGAGUAAUCCCGCAUAAGUUCAUGAAGUGGCAUCACUUUAUGAAGAAAGGAUUUAUUCGGCAGUGGAUGGGCAUGCGUUUGAUUAGCUAGUUGGUGAGGUAACGGCUCACCAAGGCUACGAUCAAUAGCUGGUCUGAGAGGAUGAUCAGCCACACUGGCACUGAGAUACGGGCCAGACUCCUACGGGAGGCAGCAGUAGGGAAUAUUGGACAAUGGGCGCAAGCCUGAUCCAGCCAUGCCGCGUGCAGGAAGAAGGCCCUCUGGGUUGUAAACUGCUUUUAUCUGGGGAUAAACCCUCGCUAUACGCGAGGCUGAAGGUACCAGAAGAAUAAGCACCGGCUAACUCCGUGCCAGCAGCCGCGGUA
rnacentral:rRNA from 1 species